rnacentral:rRNA from 1 species
UACGGAGGGUGCAAGCGUUAUCCGGAUUCACUGGGUUUAAAGGGUGCGUAGGCGGGCAGGUAAGUCCGUGGUGAAAUCUCUGAGCUUAACUCAGAAACUGCCAUGGAUACUAUUUGUCUUGAAUAUUGUGGAGGUAAGCGGAAUAUGUCAUGUAGCGGUGAAAUGCUAGAUAUGACAUAGAACACCAAUUGCGAAGGCAGCUUACUACACAGUUAUUGACGCUGAGGCACGAAAGCGUGGGGAUCAAACAGG